CAAUAGCGUAUAUUAAAGUUGUUGCAGUUAGAACGCUCGUAGUCGGAUUUCGGGGCGGGGCGACCGGUCUGCCGAUGGGUAUGCACUGGUCGGCGCGUCCUUCCUUCCGGAGACCGUUCCUACUCUUAACUGAGCGGGGGCGGGAGACGGAUCGUUUACUUUGAAAAAAUCAGAGUGUUUCAAGCAGGCAGCUCGCUCUUGCAUGGAUUAGCAUGGGAUAAUGAAAUAGGACUUUGGUGCUAUUUCGUUGGUUUCGAACACCGAAGUAAUGAUUAAAAGGGACAGUCAGGGGCACUCGUAUUCCGCCGAGAGAGGUGAAAUUCUCAGACCAGCGGAAGACGAACCACUGCGAAAGCAUUUGCCAGGGAUGUUUUCACUGA
rnacentral:rRNA from 1 species